UGCCUCGUGGCGUAAUCAGGAGCGUGCCGGUCUCUGACACCGGAGGACUCGGAGCAAAACCGAGCGAGGCAGCCA
rnacentral:tRNA from 1 species